rnacentral:rRNA from 1 species
CCUACGGGAGGCAGCAGUGGGGAAUAUUGCACAAUGGGGGAAACCCUGAUGCAGCGACGCCGCGUGAGUGAAGACGUAUCUCGGUAUGUAAAGCUCUAUCAGCCGGGAAGAAAAUGACGGUACCUGAUUAAGAAGCCCCGGCUAGCUACGUGCCAGCAGCCGCGGGAAUACGUCGGGGGCAAGCGUUAUCCGGAUUUACUGGGGGUAAAGGGAGCGUAGACGGCAGCACAAGUCUGGAGUGAAAUGCCGGGGCUUAAACCCGGAACUGCUGUUGAAACUGUGCAGCUAGAGUGCAGGAGAGGUAAGUGGAAUGCGUAGUGUAGCGGUGAAAUGCGUAGAUAUUAGGAGGAACACCAGUGGCGAAGGCGGCUUACUGGACUGUAACUGACGUUGAGGCUCGAAAGCGUGGGGAGCGAACAGGAUUAGAUACCCGGGUAGUC